UACGGAGGGUGCAAGCGUUAUCCGGAUUCACUGGGUUUAAAGGGUGCGUAGGCGGGUUGGUAAGUCCGUGGUGAAAUCCCCAAGCUUAACUUGGGAACUGCCGUGGAUACUAUCAAUCUUGAAUAUCGUGGAGGUAAGCGGAAUAUGUCAUGUAGCGGUGAAAUGCUUAGAUAUGACAUAGAACACAAAUUGCGUAGGCAGCUUACUACACGAUCAUUGACGCUGAGGCACGAAAGCGUGGGGAGCAAACAGG
rnacentral:rRNA from 1 species